UACGUAGGGUGCGAGCGUUGUCCGGAAUUAUUGGGCGUAAAGGGCUCGUAGGCGGUCUGUUGCGUCGGGAGUGAAAACUCAGGGCUUAACCCUGAGCCUGCUUCCGAUACGGGCAGACUAGAGGUAUGCAGGGGAGAACGGAAUUCCUGGUGUAGCGGUGAAAUGCGCAGAUAUCAGGAGGAACACCGGUGGCGAAGGCGGGACCCUGGGCCAGUACUGACGCUGAGGAGCGAAAGCGUGGGGAGCAAACAGG
rnacentral:rRNA from 1 species